rnacentral:rRNA from 1 species
UACGGAGGGUGCAAGCGUUAUCCGGAUUUAUUGGGUUUAAAGGGUCCGUAGGCGGACUUAUAAGUCAGUGGUGAAAUCCUGUCGCUUAACGAUAGAACUGCCAUUGAUACUGUAAGUCUUGAGUAUAUUUGAGGUAGCUGGAAUAAGUAGUGUAGCGGUGAAAUGCAUAGAUAUUACUUAGAACACCAAUUGCGAAGGCAGGUUACCAAGAUAUAACUGACGCUGAGGGACGAAAGCGUGGGUAGCGAACAGGAUUAGAUACCCUGGUAGUCCACGCUGUAAACGAUGCUAACUCGUUUUUGGUAUUUCGGUAUCAGAGACCAAGCGAAAGUGAUAAGUUAGCCACCUGGGGAGUACGCUCGCAAGAGUGAA